rnacentral:rRNA from 1 species
GACGAACGCUGGCGGCGUGCUUAACACAUGCAAGUCGAACGGAAAGGCCCUGCUUUUGUGGGGUGCUCGAGUGGCGAACGGGUGAGUAACACGUGAGUAACCUGCCCUUGACUUUGGGAUAACUUCAGGAAACUGGGGCUAAUACCGGAUAGGAGCUCCUGCUGCAUGGUGGGGGUUGGAAAGUUUCGGCGGUUGGGGAUGGACUCGCGGCUUAUCAGCUUGUUGGUGGGGUAGUGGCUUACCAAGGCUUUGACGGGUAGCCGGCCUGAGAGGGUGACCGGCCACCUUGGGACUGCGGUACGGCCCAGACUCCUACGGGAGGCAGCGGUGGGGAAUAUUGCACAAUGGGCGGAAGCCUGAUGCAGCAACGCCGCGUGCGUGAUGACGGCCUUCGGGUUGUAAACCGCUUUCGCCUGUGACGAAGCGUGAGUGACGGUAAUGGGUAAAGAAGCACCGGCUAACUACGUG